CCAGAGAACUUUCCAGAGAUGGAUUGGUGCCUUCGGGAACUCUGAGACAGGUGCUGCAUGGCUGUCGUCAGCUCGUGUUGUGAAAUGUUGGGUUAAGUCCCGCAACGAGCGCAACCCUUUAUCCUUUGUUGCCAGCGGUUAGGCCGGGAACUCAAAGGAGACUGCCAGUGAUAAACUGGAGGAAGGUGGGGAUGACGUCAAGUCAUCAUGGCCCUUACGAGUAGGGCUACACACGUGCUACAAUGGCGCAUACAAAGAGAAGCGACCUCGCGAGAGCAAGCGGACCUCAUAAAGUGCGUCGUAGUCCGGAUUGGAGUCUGCAACUCGACUCCAUGAAGUCGGAAUCGCUAGUAAUCGUGGAUCAGAAUGCCACGGUGAAUACGUUCCCGGGCCUUGUACACACCGCCCGUCACACCAUGGGAGUGGGUUGCAAAAGAAGUAGGUAGCUUAACCUUCGGGAGGGCGCUUACCACUUUGUGAUUCAUGACUGGGGUGAAGUCGUAACAAGGUAAGCGUAGCGAG
rnacentral:rRNA from 1 species